rnacentral:rRNA from 1 species
GACGAACGCUGGCGGCGUGCCUAACACAUGCAAGUCGAGCGAUGAAGCCCUUCGGGGUGGAUUAGCGGCGGACGGGUGAGCAACACGUGGGUAACCUGCCUCAAAGAGGGGGAUAGCCUCCCGAAAGGGAGAUUAAUACCGCAUAACAUUAGAUUUUCGCAUGAAGAACUAAUUAAAGGAGUAAUCCGCUUUGAGAUGGACCCGCGGCGCAUUAGCUAGUUGGUGAGGUAAAGGCUCACCAAGGCGACGAUGCGUAGCCGACCUGAGAGGGUGAUCGGCCACAUUGGAACUGAGACACGGUCCAGACUCCUACGGGAGGCAGCAGUGGGGAAUAUUGCACAAUGGGCGAAAGCCUGAUGCAGCAACGCCGCGUGAGUGAUGAAGGCCUUCGGGUUGUAAAGCUCUGUCUUUGGGGACGAUAAUGACGGUACCCAAGG